CGGGGCGUGGCUCAGUUUGGUAGAGCGUCUGGUUUGGGACCAGAAGGUCGCAGGUUCAAAUCCUGCCGCCCCGA
rnacentral:tRNA from 1 species